UUGAUUCCUCCUUGUGUACCAAUGAGAGUCACAUUAGAGAACUCACCACAACUAUCAAUAAUAUCCAAGCUACCCAAUACAGAAUCAUACCAAACAACAUCAACAUUAGUGAGAGACAUAAGUCUUUGAGACCACUGUAGACAUUGCUUGUUCUCCAUGAAAGCAGGCGUCUGAGGCAAGUGUGAAAUAAACCACUUGUACAGAAGAGG
rnacentral:lncRNA from 1 species